rnacentral:tRNA from 1 species
GGAGGGUUCGUCUAGGCGGACAGGACAUCGCCCUUUCAAGGCGGGAACGCGGGUUCGACCCCCGCACCCUUCACCA